AGCCAAAUGUCAUGGGGUGAAACGUCCGAGGGCGAAACAUUUCUAGGGACGAAACCUCGAUGUACAAACCACCUUGACAACAUUUGACCUUGGCAUUGCCUCGUCGAGAUCAGUUGAAACACACAGGAGAAUCAUGGCUUCAGUGUUUGGGGACAUCGAGAUCGCGCCACCAAUAGAAGUAUUUAAUUUGACAGCACAGUACACUGAAGACACCCAUCCACAUAAAGUUAAUCUCGGAGUCGGAGCAUACAGAACAGAUGAGGGAAAACCAUGGGUUCUUCCAGUGGUUCGAACAGUGGAAGCCCAGAUGGCAACAGACUCCACACUGAACCAUGAGUAUUUACCAGUGGCAGGAAUGCCCGACUUCAGGAAUGCAGCUCUCAAGCUCUUGCUGGGUGAAGACUCUCCAGCUCUUGUGGAAAACAGGGUAGAAGGAGUCCAGGCUAUCGGGGGUACGGGAGCGAUCAGGCUGUGUGCAGACUUCUGUAAGAAAAUGUUAGGCUACGACAGCAUGUACACAUCGAGUCCAACAUGGGGUAAUCACUUGGGAAUCUUCAAAAGCUGUGGAUACUCUAACGUCAAACAGUACCGAUACUGGGAUGCACAGAAUCGCACCAUCGACUUCAAUGGCAUGAAGGAGGACUUAAUGGCAGCACCCGAGAAGACGGUGGUGAUAUUCCAUGGAUGUUGUCAUAAUCCUACAGGUGUUAACCCUACGGAAGAACAGUGGAAAGAAAUCGCAGAUUUAGUGGAGAAGAAGAAGUUUAUGCUACUGUUGGAUGAGGCCUAUCAGGGUUUUGCCUCAGGAAAUCUAGAACAGGAUGGACAAGUUGCACGCUAUUUUGUGAAAAGGGGAUUUGAAUUUUUCGUCUCACAAUCAUUUUCUAAAAACUUUGGGUUAUACAAUGAAAGAACAGGAAAUUUAGUCAUAGUGUGUGCAAAUAAAGAUGCCAAGCUGCGAGUGAAGUCCCAGAUGGAGAUGGUUGUCAGGACAACAUGGUCAAAUUCACCCAAUCACGGGGCUAGAAUUGUAGCCUCAGUACUCAAUAAUCCAGCGUAUUAUGCAGAAUGGAAGGAACACGUAAAGACGAUGGCAGACAGAAUCAAAAUGAUGAGAGAGAUGCUCUUCCAGAAACUGAAGUCCCUGGGAACUCCUGGAAAAUGGGAUCACAUCAUCGAACAGAAGGGAAUGUUCAGCUUCACGGGAUUAAAUCGUAAGUUAACAAUCUUACACAUAGAACAGAAGGGAAUGUUCACAGUAUUAAAUCGUCAGUUAACAAUCUCACACAUAGAACAGAAGGAAAUGUUCACGGUAUUAAAUCGUCAGUUAACAGUCGUACACAUAGAACAGAAGGGAAUGUUCACGGGAUUAAAUUGUAAGUUAACAAUCUUACACAUAGAACAGAAGGGAAUGUUCACGGUAUUAAAUCGUCAGUUAACAAUCUUACACAUAGAACAGAAGGGAAUGUUCACGGUAUUAAAUCGUCAGUUAACAAUCUUACACAUAGAACGGAAGGGAAUGUUCACGGUAUUAAAUCGUCAGUUAACAAUCUUACACAUAGAACAGAAGGGAAUGUUCACGGGAUUAAAUUGUAAGUUAACAAUCUUACACAUAGAACGGAAGGGAAUGUUCACGGUAUUAAAUCGUCAGUUAACAAUCUUACACAUAGAACAGAAGGGAAUGUUCACGGGAUUAAAUUGUAAGUUAACAAUCUUACACAUAGAACAGAAGAGAAUGUUCACGUGGUUAAAUCGUAAGUUAACAAUCUUACACAUAGAACAGAGGAGAAUGUUCACGGGUUUAAGUCGUAAGUUAACACAAUUUUACACAUAGAACAGAAGGGACUGUUCAGCUUCACGGGAUUAAAUUAUUAAGUUCAAUACUCUAGAUUUAUUCCUGCUGUGAUUGUCUAGCUUUAUGGGAUUAAUUAUUAUGAUUAAAUUGUAAGUUAAUAACUCUAUACAUAUUCCCACUAUGAUUGACUUCCUCCAUUGGAUUAAAUCGAGAGUUAACAACCUUAUACUUAUUCUCAUUGGGAUUAAAUCAUAAGUUACCGACUCUAUAUAUAUUCCCACUACGACCAGAUACAUAUUUCCACUGGGAUUGCAUUGUUUCUUGGGACUAGAUAGUAAUUCAAUGAUCUCAAUGUAAUUAAAAAUCAGACUUCUUAAGCCCCUUUCACACAUUUAUGGAUGAGACGCUGGAUUGUCAAUACGUAAUGGUCCGUGACAAUCUGCCAUCACCAUGUACAAACCGUGUAUGCAUUCGGCGGCAUCCGGCCAAGCCCAACCGUGAAAAAUAUUAAACUUGAUGAAUUUUUACCCCGAUCAUCUCGGAAGAAAAUCCACUGUAUUGAUCCAUGUAGGUACAGUGUAUCAACUGAGAGGUCCAUGUAUCAACUGAGAGGUCCAUGUAUCAACCGAGAGGUCCGUGUAUCAAUCGAGAGGUCCGUGUAUCAACCGAGAGGUCCGUGUAUCAACCGUGAAGUCAGUGUAGCCACCGAAGUAACCGUGUAAAGUCUGGGGUCAUCCGUGUACGAAACUUAUCUGCUGAAGAACACGGAUGUCUAUGGUCUGUACAUGGAUUGUUCCCGGUAACUACAUCGACAGACACGAUAAACGCAGGGAAGAAAGACCGUGAUGAUCCGUGUAUCUCGGUGAAACAACCGUGGAUGGACCGGCAGAAACCGUAAUCUUCCGUAUGCUCCGUGAUCAUGCCGGCACCGACCGGGAUUUUCCCCCCGGGACUUAAGGGUAGCUACCGUGCUUAUCCGUAGAGAAACCAGCAUUUCCCGUGUCUGCAUCGUGAUAAGACCGUGUUGAUACCGGCAAUACGACGUCACAGAACCCAAAGACAUGAUCACCCCGGAUGACUAGAAUUUUGCAUCCGGUGUUGACCGGCUCCUGAUCCGUGAAUGUGUGAAAAGUGCUUUAGAUCCGUGCCGUUAUCUCUGAUUGUUAAUGACCCAUGCAAUUGUUCAGCUUCACAGUAUUAAAUCAUGAGUUAAUUCUGUUUAGUCAGUACUAAUUUAUUCCCACUUUGAGUUUUAUGCAGUCACUACUAAAUUCUUAUAUCUAUAUAGUGAUUUUGAUUUGACUGCUCAAAGCAGAUGCCGUGGUGCAUAUAAUCAGCAAAUUUCUAAAGAUUUACUAAGAUGAAACCAGGGCUGUGAUUGGUCAGGAGCUUCCGUCAUAACUGAUGCAAGGAUGAAUCUCACCCUGAUUUAAUGAAUCAAAUAAUGAAUGAUUGUUGUAAUGUACUUCUUAUUUUUUAAAUUUAUGCAGAAGAGUAGUCACUUGUGAUUAAGUCUUGCCAUAAUUAUCACAUAAAUUGACAGUCUGAUUAAAACCACUCUCUUCUCUUUACACUCGCCUGGUGAGUAGAAAGGGUGGGGGGUUAAUCAGACUGAUGCCACUUCUUUUCAUUGUAUCAAAGUUUGUCAGCUAGUGAAUAUACUAAAUGGGUGCUGUUGUUAUAAGGUGUUUGUUGGUACUUGAGUGUCUGCCAUAAGAGAGAUAUGGUUGGAUCGAUACACUAACUUCUUGAUUUGAUUUGAUUUUUCAGACCAUUCACUUUGUUUUGAUUUUCUCUUUAGAUUACUCAGUUUGAUUCUUUCAAUGAGCUGCGGCUAGAAACUUUCAGAUUUCUCUUUAUUGAGAUCAAAAAUGCUCUCUCAUUUUUAAAUUAAUUUUAACAAUUUCAUAAAACAAAAUGAGCAUUACAUACUGUAUCCAAUUUUAGUGUGUACUAAUAUAAUAAUGUAGAGUUUGCAGUUUUUAUACGCCUGUCUUUAGACGAGACGUAUUAUGGUACAGCGAUGUCUGUAUGUCCGUCCGUUCGGGGUUUUCUCUUUAUAAUUUCAUUUCCCUUUCACAUAUCAUGCUGAAACUUGCUGUGUAGCUUCUUUGUGGGUCACUUUAGAUCAUACUGCAAUUUAGAUCCAUUUCGACCUUUUUUCCAGGAGUUUUGCCCCUUUAUUUGGAAAUAAUUAUUAUAUGGAGGGUACAUAAUUUGUCCGCCCUACUCCUCCCACAGUUUUCAAGUGAGAGCCUUCUUAUUUUGUGGAGUGUUUGUAUGGGUAUUGAAGAUGUGCAUGUGGGAUGGAUUUUGAUUUUCUACAAUUUUGAGAAAAUUACAGGUUGUUGAACUUAGUCUAUUUGGGAAUUAAUAUUCUAUGGAGGGUACAUAAUUUGUCUGCCCUACUCCUCCCACAGUUUUCAAGUGACGACCUUCUUAUUUUGUGGAGUGUUUGUAUAGGUACUGAAGUUGUGCAUGUGGGAUGGAUUUUGAUUUUCUACAAUUUUUGAGAAAAUUACAGGUUGUUGAACUUGGUCCAUUUUGAGGAAAUCUCGAUUCUUAAGCUAAGACCCUUUGUUCAUAUGAAAGUUUGUCACAGCCUCAUGAUGGCUGAUACUACCUGAAGCAAAGUUAUACAAAUUAUAACACAAGAAAAACACCUUAUGUAAGCAUUUCAUGGGCGUAUUAUAUACGGUUUGCGGUACUCUUGUUCAUAAUUUUGAUGACCAGAGUAAGUUAUAGCCAGAUAAAUGAAUAAUAUAGUUACGAUACAAUGCACAUGAUGUAGUCUGUUGUCAAUUGUGAUAUGCACUAGAAUCAAUCAUCUUCUGAAUUGUUUUUAGCCGAGUUGCAACGAAGUUGAACUCGGCUAUUGGUUUGGCGGGCGGUUGGGUGUCAACAAUUGGUUUCCGGAUGAUAACUCGAAAAGUUUACAAUCUGAUCAAAUGAAACUUAGAUAUAUUGUUGGGUACCAGGUAAGGAAGACCCCUAUUGAUUUUGGAGGAAAAUGGUCAAAGGUCAAGGUCACAGUGACCGAAAAUAGAAUGAAAAUUUCAGAAAAAUUUGGUUUCCGGAUGAUAACUCAGAAAGUUUAAAUCCGAAUCAAAUGAUACUUAAAGAUAUUGUUAUGUACCAGGUAAGGAAGACCCCUAUUGCUUUUGGAGAAAAUAGGUCAAAGGUCAAGGUCACAGUGACCAAAAAUAGAUUGAAACUUUAGACAAAUAUGGUUUCUGGACAGUAACUCGAAAAGUUUAAAACUGAAUCAAAUGAAACUUGGUUAUAUUGUUGGAUAGCAGGUUAGGAAGAUCCCCUAUUGAUUUUGGAGAAAAAAGGUCAAGUUCACAGUCCUAAAAAAAGAUUGAAAAUUUUAGAAAUAUCUGGAUCUGCAUGAAAACUCUAAGAGGUAAUAUACAACAAUGAAGGAUGCCCAUUUCCAAACUCCUUUAAAAAUGUAUUCACAAGAAUUUAUUACAUUAUAUCCAACAAUUAGUUCUUCACAAUUAUAAAUAUGCCACAUCAUUCCUGACUUUACAAUGUAUCCCAUGCAACUCGGCUCAUGCACCCCUGGGUGCAUAUAUUGAUUUUUUUAAAUGCAUCUUUCCACAUUAUUGAACCUUUGGAGGGAAAUUUUGAUUGAUACAUUGACUGAGAGAGAAAGAUGCA